UAUCACUUCUUCAAGCCAAAAAACGCUAUAUCAUCCGCGUAAACGUACGUGCAUACAUUCUGAUGACAAGGAAUGGAGCUUAGCAAGAUAUUAAACAAAAGCGGCGAUAACACUGAGCCUUGUGGAACCCCGCGUGUUUGUCUGAAUUUUCCGGAUGCAAUUCCACUUUGCGCACAGUAAAACUCCCUGCCCU
rnacentral:lncRNA from 1 species